AUGGCCGCACCACCCUCCCUUUCCUGCCUUCUCGAGGAGCCUCGCCGACUGCCGCCACCACCACCACCCCAGGACGGGAUGGAUACAGAGGCGGAGUGGAGGGAUUGGGCGGAGCUGCCACGGGAUGUGUUGCUGGCGGUGCUCAGCAGGCUGGACCACAUCGAGAUCCUCAUGGGGCCGGACAUGGUGUGCAGCCCAUGGCGCAGGGCUGGUACGGACGAGCCCGAGCUGUGGCGCCGCAUCGAUAUGCGCUUUCACUAUGCCGAUGGCUUCUACCUCAACUCGAGGAAAUUGCUUCAGAUGGUGAGAGCUGCCAUGAGGCGUAGUGCGGGUCGGUGCGAGGCCUUCUGGGGCGGGAGCUACGUCACAGAAAGGAUUCUCUCCCUGGUCGGCAACGCGGCGCCAUCCUUGAAGAGCCUUCGACUCAUCGAGUGCCGUGACAUUGUGGACUCGGCCUUCAAGGCGGUGAUCACAAAGUUCCCCAUGCUUGAGGAGUUAGAGAUAUCAAACUGUAUGCACCGCUUCCCAGAAACACUUGAAGUCAUAGGGGAUGCCUGCCCUCUACUGAAGCGCUUUCGACUGAGCCAAAGGUCCUUCUACAGUGAAAUCGUAGAUGACAGCACAGCCAUGGCGAUCGCUAGCAUGUCGGAGUUGCGGUCGUUGCAGCUCACGGCUAAUUCGCUCACCAACAGUGGUUUGGAACUCAUCCUUAAUGGUUGCCCGCUCCUAGAGUCUCUCGACAUCCGGUCUUGUUACCAUAUUUGCAUGGACAAUGAAAUGCAAGCAAAGUGUGCUAGGAUCAAGACUUUGAGGCAUCCUGAAGACUCCAUGGAUGAUUAUGACCUGUCGUUUAAUUAUACAAUUCCCAGACCGUGCUGGUCUGCCGAACCAAUCGAAUACUCUAUGGGAUGUCAAAGUCCUUACUAG
rnacentral:rRNA from 1 species